GACGUGGUGGCCUAAUGGUUUGCGUGUUGGACUCGGGAUCGAGCGGUCCUGGAUCGAGCCCUGGCCUGGGUCA
rnacentral:tRNA from 1 species